AUUGAACGCUGGCGGCAGGCUUAACACAUGCAAGUCGAGCGGAGAUGAGGUGCUUGCACCUUAUCUUAGCGGCGGACGGGUGAGUAAUGCUUAGGAAUCUGCCUAUUAGUGGGGGACAACAUUCCGAAAGGAAUGCUAAUACCGCAUACGUCCUACGGGAGAAAGCAGGGGAUCUUCGGACCUUGCGCUAAUAGAUGAGCCUAAGUCGGAUUAGCUAGUUGGUGGGGUAAAGGCCUACCAAGGCGACGAUCUGUAGCGGGUCUGAGAGGAUGAUCCGCCACACUGGGACUGAGACACGGCCCAGACUCCUACGGGAGGCAGCAGUGGGGAAUAUUGGACAAUGGGCGGAAGCCUGAUCCAGCCAUGCCGCGUGUGUGAAGAAGGCCUUUUGGUUGUAAAGCACUUUAAGCGAGGAGGAGGCUACCUAGAUUAAUACUCUGGGACAGUGGACGUUACUCGCGGAAUAAGCACCGGCUAACUCUGUGCCAGCCGCCGCGGUAACAC
rnacentral:rRNA from 1 species